rnacentral:misc_RNA from 1 species
CUGAAAUACCUGAUGCAACAUUACUUG